ensembl:misc_RNA Metazoa_SRP Metazoan signal recognition particle RNA
GCUGGGCGUGGUGGCGGAUGCCUGUAAUCCCAGCUACUCAGGAGGCUGAGGCAGGAGAGUCACUUGAACCUGGGAGGCAGAGGUUGCAGUGAGCUGAGACUGUGCCACUGCACUCCAGCCUGGGUGACAGAGUGAGACCCUGUCUUUA